GGCGCUGUAGCUCAGUUGGUUUAGAGCGCCGCCCUGUCACGGCGGAGGUCGAGGGUUCGAGCCCCUUCAGCGUCGCCA
rnacentral:tRNA from 1 species